CGGUCCUUCAAAGCCAUGGAGGGAGGGAGACUGCAAAUGUCUCGACAUCGAUUUUCAAUGCAAUAGAAGAUAGAAGUUCACAUUUAUCCUAAAUGUUACAGAAAAGUGGUCAGCUAGCUACAGAACGUAGUCUUUCCUCGCCCCCACGACGCUACUUCCCCCCACCAACUGGCACCACGUCCUAAACAGAGCUCACUUCCUGUUGCAGAGCGUUCCAUGGUGUCAACUGGAAGAGCCUGGGAUUACUGCCUAUGGGUGAGGCCACAUGCAGAGAAGCUGAACUCAGCUGCUCCCUUCUCAGCAUGUUAGCCUACACUCUGGAGUCUGAGGUGGAAGGGAGCAGGAGUCGAAGGUGGAAGGGAGGCCUGAGGGGUAACAGGGCUCAAGUUUGUUGUUUCUGUGGAUGCUGCUGGCCUACAACAUUCUGACAUGCUGCCUGGGCGCUGUGCAGUGUCUUUCUGAACCUUCAGCUACAGGACUUGACCAGGAAUGAGCACAUGACUCUGGGAUUGGAGCUGUCCCAUCAGAGCAGCCCCAGCAUUCUGAUGGACAUAGAGAUCUGAAAUCCAGGAAUGCUGCUCUAUGACCUGUCCAUGUGCAACUACAUAACAUAUUACAGGUUCGCUACCUCACAGCCAUCUGCUUCCAUUAAGGGCCUGCCUAGCUGUUGGAGCUGGGAGCCCUGUAGACCCUUAACAUGGGAGGCAACCAGAACCUGGGAGGAAACCAGCUGCAGAGCAUUCCCUCAAUAACUUGCUGACAUGUCUGCCUCUAGAGAUCCUCAGACUUACACAUCAGGAAGAGUUGUUUUUUAUGAAAUACAUUGUUUUUUGUUUCCUUUGGUCAAGAUUUAACAUUUGACUCUCCAGUUCUUCUGGCAAUACCUGCAAGGAUCAUUAAGAUCCAGAAGUAUUUCUUACACUCCCCAUGAUCUUCCUGGGAAGCUCCUUAGAUGUUUGUGUUUAGCCAGCAAUUGCCCAAACCCCAAGUAUGGAGGAGUGUAUUUUGACUGCUCUUUCAGACAAAUUAAGUCUGUGGAUUUCUGUUGGAAGUAUCACAUCCCCGAGGCAUUGUUUGUGUUCUCCAGAAUGCUCUUCCCCUUGCAUCUCUGCCUCACACAGCUCCACAUCUCAGAUGGCAUCUGACUCAGAAGAUGAAGCCUGGAAUCCUGCAUACAGAAUGCUUAAUGAUCUUCGUGGAUAACAGCAGUGGGUGUAGAAAAAUACUUAAACUCACCAAAGGUGAUUAAAAAAGAAAGUUGAGCUUGAAGAUGUUUGGAAAUCUUAGUGGUUUCAUCUUGAAUGUCCAUGUAAGAGUUGCAAUGUUGUCAAAGGAUUUAUAUUUCAUAUAUAUGUUCAUCAUGGUCAUGUCCAGUUCCCUGUAUAGAUUUUGAGUAGAAUUUAUUCUGAAUGGCAGUCCAAAACUGUGGUUGGUCACAAUUUUCAAUUAAGUGUUUCAUGAAAAUCUAGCAGAAUGGUAGACAUUGGGGAGCCGUCAGAAUCAGCCUG
rnacentral:lncRNA from 1 species